GUGUUCGCUUCGGCAACACAUAUACUAAAAUUGGACAGAUACAGAGAAGAUUAGCAUGGGCGCAAGGAUGACACGCAAAUUCGUGAAGCGUUCCAUAUUUUU